GCGACAUGAUUCGUUACCCCACGGGGGUCCUGGUGUUGUGCUCCGGCGCUCAUCAGGGCUUCUAACGUGCUCGGGGGCCGGCCAUGGUAGUUCAAUCCAUGACUGUUCCUCGGUGUCGCAGAACAAAUUGCCCCUUCCUCACGGUCGUGUGGCGAUGUACGGUAUAUUCCUUAACCUUCGUUGUAUGUCCUCUGGACGGUGAUCACGGAGAUAAACCAUACUGCUCACAGUG
rnacentral:snoRNA from 1 species